GCACAAGCGGCGGAGCAUGCGGAUUAAUUCGAUGCAACGCGAAGAACCUUACCAAGGCUUGACAUACACCGGUAACGCCCAGAGAUGGGUGCCCCUUUGUGGUCGGUGUACAGGUGGUGCAUGGUUGUCGUCAGCUCGUGUCGUGAGAUGUUGGGUUAAGUCCCGCAACGAGCGCAACCCUCGCCUCUAGUUGCCAGCAUUCGGUUGGGCACUCUAGAGGGACUGCCGGCGACAAGUCGGAGGAAGGUGGGGAUGACGUCAAAUCAUCAUGCCCCUUAUGACCUGGGCUACACACGUGCUACAAUGGGCGGUACAAAGGGCUGCGAACCCGCGAGGGGGAGCGAAUCCCAAAAAGCCGCUCUCAGUUCGGAUUGCAGGCUGCAACUCGCCUGCAUGAAGCCGGAAUCGCUAGUAAUCGCGGAUCAGCACGCCGCGGUGAAUACGUUCCCGGGCCUU
rnacentral:rRNA from 1 species